rnacentral:rRNA from 1 species
UGGGGAAUCUUAGACAAUGGGCGCAAGCCUGAUCUAGCCAUGCCGCGUGAGUGAUGAAGGCCCUAGGGUCGUAAAGCUCUUUCGCCAGGGAUGAUAAUGACAGUACCUGGUAAAGAAACCCCGGCUAACUCCGUGCCAGCAGCCGCGGUAAUACGGAGGGGGUUAGCGUUGUUCGGAAUUACUGGGCGUAAAGCGUACGUAGGCGGAUUAGAAAGUUGGGGGUGAAAUCCCGGGGCUCAACCCCGGAACUGCCUCCAAAACUACUAGUCUAGAGUUCGAGAGAGGUGAGUGGAACUCCGAGUGUAGAGGUGAAAUUCGUAGAUAUUCGGAAGAACACCAGUGGCGAAGGCGGCUCACUGGCUCGAUACUGACGCUGAGGUACGAAAGUGUGGGGAGCAAACAGGAUUAGAUACCCCCGUAGUCC